GAGGCCGCUUACUUGCAAAUGAAACCGCCACUUUCACAUUUCCUUCUGGCGUCUGUGUUCUCUGGGAAAAGCAGCUCGGGUCUGUGGAGAACAUCCACGAGCACAGAUAACUCUGCCUGCACCAGGGGCCUGAGACGGUCCUCCAGCGCGGAGACGAUGUCCUAAAACGGAAACACAGCCUCAGUCAACGGCUCAGGCAGACGCUGACCGCAGGAGGCCGCCAUGACGUGAGGAAGCCCAGGCUACAUGGAGAUGUUUCAGUCGACAACUCCAGCUGAGGUCCCACCUGACAACCAGCAUCAACUGCCAAAUAUGCGAGUGAGCAAGGUGUCAAGAUGAGUCCAACCGCAGUCACUAUCUGACUGCAACCCCAUGAAAGACUCUAAGCAAGAAAUAGCUAGCGGAGCCCAGUCAACCUCCAGAAGAGCAAAAGAGAAUAAGGUAUCACCACCCUUGUUCACCUGCUGAUUCAAGAGGCUAAAUAACCCCAGAGUGAUGGGGAAAACGGAACAUUUAUGCUCUUACUCUAAACAUCCUCUGUAAUACUUCAAUAUUUCCUUCUAAUAAGAGCAGAGUCCCAAUUUUUCGCCAGGAAAUCUGCAAAUCUAGGAGUAACCUUUAAAGACCAUCAGUUUUUCAGGAACUUUUCUAUUCCUAAGUAACUUCCCACUCCUGGCCCUACAUAUAUAACAUUUGACUAUUCGUUCACCACACUGACAUCUUCCUAUGGCUCAGCUUAGAUGCUCUCUGGCUCAAGGACGCACUGCUGUGUGUGGCAAUCACCUGAGGCCAGGCUAAGCAUCACUUCUCUCAACACCAGGCAUUACCUGCAAUCUCUCAAUGAUAUUCCGGUAGUCUCUGGAAGCUGCCAGAACAGAGUCCCUGCGUGCGGCAUUGCGGGCUGAGAGCCGCCAGUUCAUGGCUGUCUUCUGCACAAUGUUGUGGGACUUGAGAAAGAGGUUGUUGACUUGGCUGUCCAGGUCCACGGGAAUGGCAAUGGCCCGGCUCUUGGCUGCACAGGAGAAAGAUGAGUCGUGAGCCUACAACUUUGAUGGGGGACACCCCUACAGAUGGACGUAAUGCCCUAGUCCCCAUCCAGCAGGUUUUUCACACCCAGAAUGGGCCAGCUUGCCUGGUAUUGAGCUUAAAGACUGAGAAGCUCAAGUCAACUUUACCAUCUUUUAGGUCAGGGUUUCCCAGUGUGAAUUCUGGGGGGAAGCAGUUCUUAGGAAUGUUAAAAUGCUCUCAGGUCAUAAGGCCAGGGCAUGUCAGAGUUAAAGUUCAAUGGGUUUCCUCAAUGAAUGGCUUCUUAAGGUCACUGAGGUGUUUGUGUAUUUUAAGAAUAAUCAAGACAGGGAACUCGUUUGGCCAAUGAAUCAUUUGCUAGUUAUUUUUCAGGUUUGUUCAACAAUCUACAAAAAUGCUGGGUUAUCCCAAACAUAAUCCUAAAGGUAGCAUUCACAAUGGUAUAAACUCCUCUUUCUGGAUAGGUGCUUCUUUCUUCCUCUUAAAAAAGGAGAACUCCAGUCUAAGCAUGAGACAAACAUCAGUCAAACCCAUAAUGGGAGACACUCUACAGGACUCCUGACCAGUACUUGUCAAGACUGUCAAGGUCAUAAGAAACAAGGAAAGGCUGAGAAAUGGUCACAGACCAGAAGCCACUGGAGAGACAUGACAACCAAAUGCAAGGUGGUACCUGGACCAAAUCCUGGAACAGAAAAAGGGCAUGACAAGGGACAGCAGUGGGAAAAGUGGUGAAAUUCGAAUCGAGUCUGGAGUUGAGGUAAUAGCAUUGUACCAGUGUCAGUUUCCUAGCCUUGACAAAGGUGCCCUGCUAAUGUAAGAUGCUGACAACGGGUGACAAUGGGUGAGGGAAAUUUGUGGGAACUCUCUGUAUUACCCUUGCUACAGUCCCAUAAACCUGAAAUUAUUCCAAAAUAAAAGAUUUUGAAAAGGAAGAU